GGGUAUAAUCAUACCUUACACAUGACUAUACUAGGGGGUAGUUAUACCGACAUACACUCUCUCAAGAUGUCAAUAAUUAGCACGUAAUUUGGUCCCUUCAUGUCUCUUAGGAGGAUGCUAUCUUGCUAAAAUUUAGGUGGCCCUGCUACUAUAAGGUGUGAAAACUAUCUAAAGUGUCACUUUAGAGACCAUAUAUUCCCACUAAGGUAACUAGAUUACUCACUCU
rnacentral:misc_RNA from 1 species